CAGGGAAUAUUGCACAAUGGGCGAAAGCCUGAUGCAGCGACGCCGCGUGAGGGAUGAAGGCUUUCGAGUUGUAAACCUCUUUCAGUAGGGACGAAGCGAAAGUGACGGUACCUACAGAAGAAGCCCCGGCCAACUACGUGCCAGCAGCCGCGGUAAUACGUAGGGGGCGAGCGUUGUCCGGAUUUAUUGGGCGUAAAGAGCUCGUAGGCGGCUUGGCAAGUCGGUCGUGAAAGCCCGAGGCUCAACCUCGGAGGGUCGGUCGAAACUGCCAUGGCUAGGGUCCGGUAGAGGAGAGUGGAAUUCCCGGUGUAGCGGUGAAAUGCGCAGAUAUCGGGAGGAACACCAGUAGCGAAGGCGGCUCUCUGGGCCGGUACCGACGCUGAGGAGCGAAAGCGUGGGGAGCAAACAGGAUUAGAUACCCGCGUAGUCC
rnacentral:rRNA from 1 species